UUAAGCGACUAAGCGUACACGGUGGAUGCCCUGGCAGUCAGAGGCGAUGAAGGACGUGCUAAUCUGCGAUAAGCGUCGGUAAGGUGAUAUGAACCGUUAUAACCGGCGAUUUCCGAAUGGGGAAACCCAGUGUGUUUCGACACACUAUCAUUAACUGAAUCCAUAGGUUAAUGAGGCGAACCGGGGGAACUGAAACAUCUAAGUACCCCGAGGAAAAGAAAUCAACCGAGAUUCCCCCAGUAGCGGCGAGCGAACGGGGAGCAGCCCAGAGCCUGAAUCAGUGUGUGUGUUAGUGGAAGCGUCUGGAAAGGCGCGCGAUACAGGGUGACAGCCCCGUACACAAAAAUGCACAUGCUGUGAGCUCGAUGAGUAGGGCGGGACACGUGGUAUCCUGUCUGAAUAUGGGGGGACCAUCCUCCAAGGCUAAAUACUCCUGACUGACCGAUAGUGAACCAGUACCGUGAGGGAAAGGCGAAAAGAACCCCGGCGAGGGGAGUGAAAAAGAACCUGAAACCGUGUACGUACAAGCAGUGGGAGCCUCUUUUAUGGGGUGACUGCGUACCUUUUGUAUAAUGGGUCAGCGACUUAUAUUCUGUAGCAAGGUUAACCGAAUAGGGGAGCCGAAGGGAAACCGAGUCUUAACUGGGCGUUAAGUUGCAGGGUAUAGACCCGAAACCCGGUGAUCUAGCCAUGGGCAGGUUGAAGGUUGGGUAACACUAACUGGAGGACCGAACCGACUAAUGUUGAAAAAUUAGCGGAUGACUUGUGGCUGGGGGUGAAAGGCCAAUCAAACCGGGAGAUAGCUGGUUCUCCCCGAAAGCUAUUUAGGUAGCGCCUCGUGAAUUCAUCUCCGGGGGUAGAGCACUGUUUCGGCAAGGGGGUCAUCCCGACUUACCAACCCGAUGCAAACUGCGAAUACCGGAGAAUGUUAUCACGGGAGACACACGGCGGGUGCUAACGUCCGUCGUGAAGAGGGAAACAACCCAGACCGCCAGCUAAGGUCCCAAAGUCAUGGUUAAGUGGGAAACGAUGUGGGAAGGCCCAGACAGCCAGGAUGUUGGCUUAGAAGCAGCCAUCAUUUAAAGAAAGCGUAAUAGCUCACUGGUCGAGUCGGCCUGCGCGGAAGAUGUAACGGGGCUAAACCAUGCACCGAAGCUGCGGCAGCGACGCUUAUGCGUUGUUGGGUAGGGGAGCGUUCUGUAAGCCUGUGAAGGUGUGCUGUGAGGCAUGCUGGAGGUAUCAGAAGUGCGAAUGCUGACAUAAGUAACGAUAAAGCGGGUGAAAAGCCCGCUCGCCGGAAGACCAAGGGUUCCUGUCCAACGUUAAUCGGGGCAGGGUGAGUCGACCCCUAAGGCGAGGCCGAAAGGCGUAGUCGAUGGGAAACAGGUUAAUAUUCCUGUACUUGGUGUUACUGCGAAGGGGGGACGGAGAAGGCUAUGUUGGCCGGGCGACGGUUGUCCCGGUUUAAGCGUGUAGGCUGGUUUUCCAGGCAAAUCCGGAAAAUCAAGGCUGAGGUGUGAUGACGAGGCACUACGGUGCUGAAGCAACAAAUGCCCUGCUUCCAGGAAAAGCCUCUAAGCAUCAGGUAACAUCAAAUCGUACCCCAAACCGACACAGGUGGUCAGGUAGAGAAUACCAAGGCGCUUGAGAGAACUCGGGUGAAGGAACUAGGCAAAAUGGUGCCGUAACUUCGGGAGAAGGCACGCUGAUAUGUAGGUGAAGUCCCUUGCGGAUGGAGCUGAAAUCAGUCGAAGAUACCAGCUGGCUGCAACUGUUUAUUAAAAACACAGCACUGUGCAAACACGAAAGUGGACGUAUACGGUGUGACGCCUGCCCGGUGCCGGAAGGUUAAUUGAUGGGGUCAGCGCAAGCGAAGCUCUUGAUCGAAGCCCCGGUAAACGGCGGCCGUAACUAUAACGGUCCUAAGGUAGCGAAAUUCCUUGUCGGGUAAGUUCCGACCUGCACGAAUGGCGUAAUGAUGGCCAGGCUGUCUCCACCCGAGACUCAGUGAAAUUGAACUCGCUGUGAAGAUGCAGUGUACCCGCGGCAAGACGGAAAGACCCGUGAACCUUUACUAUAGCUUGACACUGAACAUUGAGCCUUGAUGUGUAGGAUAGGUGGGAGGCUUUGAAGUGUGGACGCCAGUCUGCAUGGAGCCGACCUUGAAAUACCACCCUUUAAUGUUUGAUGUUCUAACGUUGGCCCUAAUCGGGGUUGCGGACAGUGUCUGGUGGGUAGUUUGACUGGGGCGGUCUCCUCCUAAAGAGUAACGGAGGAGCACGAAGGUUGGCUAAUCCUGGUCGGACAUCAGGAGGUUAGUGCAAUGGCAUAAGCCAGCUUGACUGCGAGCGUGACGGCGCGAGCAGGUGCGAAAGCAGGUCAUAGUGAUCCGGUGGUUCUGAAUGGAAGGGCCAUCGCUCAACGGAUAAAAGGUACUCCGGGGAUAACAGGCUGAUACCGCCCAAGAGUUCAUAUCGACGGCGGUGUUUGGCACCUCGAUGUCGGCUCAUCACAUCCUGGGGCUGAAGUAGGUCCCAAGGGUAUGGCUGUUCGCCAUUUAAAGUGGUACGCGAGCUGGGUUUAGAACGUCGUGAGACAGUUCGGUCCCUAUCUGCCGUGGGCGCUGGAGAACUGAGGGGGGCUGCUCCUAGUACGAGAGGACCGGAGUGGACGCAUCACUGGUGUUCGGGUUGUCAUGCCAAUGGCACUGCCCGGUAGCUAAAUGCGGAAGAGAUAAGUGCUGAAAGCAUCUAAGCACGAAACUUGCCCCGAGAUGAGUUCUCCCUGACUCCUUGAGAGUCCUGAAGGAACGUUGAAGACGACGACGUUGAUAGGCCGGGUGUGUAAGCGCAGCGAUGCGUUGAGCUAACCGGUACUAAUGAACCGUGAGGCUUAACCUU
rnacentral:rRNA from 1 species